GACCGGAGCGUCGUGAGGGGCUAGGCGCUGGAGCUAGACAGAGCGAAAACUGGAACCUCUCCAUGAAUACCGGUUAUCUAGUUUUGAGGGAAUAAUUCCUUAUAGCCUGCACCUGCGUCUGCAAGCGAAUCCUAAGAUGAUGGGUUCCUCGGCGCAAGCCUGCAGGGAAGUGAAAACAAAGUAGAUGGCUUGGUGACGAUGGCGGAGAGGUCACACCCGUUCCCAUCCCGAACACGGAAGUUAAGCUCUCCAGCGCCGAUGGUAGUUGGGGCCAGCGCCCCUGCGAGAGUAGGACGUUGCUAGGC
rnacentral:rRNA from 1 species